rnacentral:lncRNA from 1 species
CUGUAUUUCUGUGAUCCUGGUGAUAGGGACUGGAAACUGUGGCUGAAGUAUCUUUCACAAAGGAGGGUCUGAAAGGAACAAUUCAGUGUAGGAUGGUAAAAAGUAGCAACUGUUUCUUCCUUUGGGAUCUGCUUCACAGUUUCCAUUCCCAGAAGGUUGUUGUUGGUACUCCAUGCAUGAAAUCCUAGUUGUAGAUCAGAAGAAAGAUUCAAAAUGUGAAAGAAAAGAAAAACAUAUUGACUCUCUUUACAAGUCUUGGAAGAAAUUCUAGAAAAUCUGCCUUUAUCUCUUUGGCCAGAAUUUCAUCCCAUGCCCUCUUCUACCCCCUUAGAAAGGAUCAAAAAAUAGUCUUUUAAAUGAGCACAUUGUCACGUGAUAGAGGUAACUUUUCAGCAUUGCCAUCUUUCAGAAGAAAAAAAAAAUCCCAUAAAGUCUUACUGAAAUUUAUUACAGGUAUAGAGAUGUAAGAAUCACAGACAAAUCAUUUGGCUAUUUUGGCUUAUGUCACUUUCCCCAACAACACUUUACUAUGAACCCCCCCCCCCAUUCCUUCCAAAAACUUUUUAUAAAGCCAGAGCUUCCAACCUGUGACUUUUCCUGCUGUAUACAGACCUCUGGAACUGUCCAGUAAGUGGCAACUGUUUCUUCCUUGGGAUCUGCUUCGCAGUUCCUGCCUGGUUCCCCCUCAGUUCUUUGAGGGACUCAAGUGACUGAUCAGCUAGGUAGAAAGCUGGAGAACAAGAAUAAGGACUGCAGCCAUUUAUCAUGUGCCAGGAGCUUCUGUUAAAUAACUAAUUUUUAUAACAACAUAUUGAAGAAGCUGUCAUCUCAUUAUCACCAAUGAGGGAAUUCAGGCUCAAGCGACUGUAGUCAACAGCCCAAAUCUUGUUUAAGCAGUGCCUGUAUUAUUUGUGGCUUCUACAUGUAUUCCCUUGUGCCUUCCUUCAUUCAGUAUUUCAUUAUGUUCUCAUGAAAGCUCAAUGAGAACAUAAAUGACAGGUUGGGAUUACAACCAGGGUCAAACAGUCAAGAAAGUCCACUUCCUUCAGCUGUCUCUGAAGCUACAAGGGUUUCUAGAUCUCUUAUCAUAAAAGCCUCCUCUUGACAUGUGCUGGUUUGUCAAUGCCAUUCUGGAAAUACUGCUCAGACUUGAACCUAAUUCCUAGAUGUGGAGGAAAAGCAAAACUAAACGAACCUCAUUUAAGACAUUCUGAAUUGUGGAUAGUCAGAUCAAAGUGGAAAACGACUCUAAUUUAAAAAGUUGAAUUACUAGCAGCAAGUGCUGAGCCUAGCACAAGUUGAAUAUGGAGAUUUUGCAAAAACUAGGGUUGCACAGUUUACUGAUGAGUUUAUUUAGCAGAAAGUGAGAACUGUCUACAGAUAACUGAAGGGUUGUCAGGUGGAGUGGAUAUUUGUGUUGUCUUUAUUGCUAUAAUAACCUUCUACUAACAGUAAUAACUUAUUUAUGGAACACUUUCUAAAUAUUACCUAAGUAAAUGACUUGGAAUAUAUUUUAUCUUAAGUUUAUUAUUUUGGAAUUACUAAUUCUAUAAAACACAAAAGGCUGCUGAGGUUUGGAGAGACAGGGACACUCUCAGAGUAAGUAGUAAUAAUGAGAAUCAAGUCUGUAGCUCUGCUGACAAAACCCAAAGCAAAGAAAUUACUGAAUUUUGGACAUUUUCAUUUCUGUCCAGGGCCUCAGUUUCUCAUCUGUAAAAUAAGCAUUUUGAAUCCUGAGGUUUAUAUAAGCAGUGGUGUGCUAGAGCCCAUGUGGACUCUGAGUGCUGAUGGUUUUACUUUUGAAAAAUUUGUGAGCUGUUUUUAAACAUAGCCAUCACUGACAAGUAUACUAUAUAAAGUAUGAAUUUAACAUGACAUUAAAAUAUAAAAUAUCCCAAUUCAUCAUUUUGUAACACUUGACUUCAUUUGACUAUUAUUGAUCCUCUUUAGGGUAUUAAUAGCUGUUGCAUCUCUGUGGUGGAAAUAUUAUGAAAUGGCUGUGCUACUUCCAUCUUUUUCUAGCUUCUCAUUCAGUGGGGUCAUUUUGUAGCUUGAUAUCUGCCAGAUUUGGGAGUAUUUACACCAUGAAAAUUGGUAAAUGCUACAAAUUGAGGUUUGGUUCAUUGUUUUAUUGAUUGUAUUGGCUUAUGAAACUAAUGGAAAAUAUUCAAGUUAGAAUGUCACACCUAUAGGCAUUACAUUGGAGGUGCACAAAAAAUAAGGAAAUGUUCUAAUGUCUGGAAACUAUCGUCCAAUUCAGAAAAGAAAGCACUCAAUGUCUUUAAUGAAUGAAAGAAGUUACAACUUAGGACUUUGUUUUACUUUGUCUCCUUCAUUAACACAAAUGAAUGUUGGUGGAUAUUUUUCAUUGGUCAGGUGUGACUGUAGCUUAACUAUAAUGAAAAAUUCAGUACAGUGAAAAUAUUCAGUAAAAAUCAGUUGGCUAUAUGGAAUUUAUAAUAAAGAAUGCUAUUUUAUUAACUUGAGCUACAUAUCCUUUAUAGAAAUAGUGUAUUGUGCAUACACACACACACGCUUUAAGUUUGUGUAUAAAUGUAAAUAUGAUUAUAUAUACACAGAGACAUACACGUAAUAUGCUGGAGAACUGGUUCUUAAAUGUUUUCUGGCACCUAUUUAAAUUGCUUAUAAGGCCUUCCUCAUCUUUGAUAUUUUUAGGAGUCUAACCAGGACCAGCAGGUAGAGACCUCGAGAAGCCAAGCACUAUGAAAAACUAGGUCCCCGUCACUAUGCUCAUGACAAAGCCACUUCGCAGGGGAAAGGAGGAUGUGGAUGAUGUUGGAUGUUCUUCUUCCCCAAUCAGAAAGGUUCACAGCAGCUAAAGAGGAGGACACUGGUGGGAAAGGUGAGUGGGCAUUGUAUUCCCAAGGCAGUAGCCGAUGGCUCAGGAGACAUAAGAACUUACCAAGAGUCUUAUUCUUGAUAUCCCUACAUAAAUAGAAACUUUCUGGGUGGCUAGGGGCAGAAUGCAUAGCCUCUGGAGCCAAUUUCUUUCACUUACGUGUAUGCUUCCUCACUGGCUGUGCAUUUCAGGUGUUUAUGUAUUAGCCUCUCAGGUGAGUCCUCUUGGGUCUGAGGAGUAGGUCUAGCUAAAAAUGAGACUGCUCAAGAAAUUGUUGAUCGCCGUGCCUUUUGAAGGAACUCAAUACAAAUUCAAUCUGCCCUCCCCUUUAGUUCCUCAAAUUCUAGAACGGUGCAGAGAUUAUAAGAAAACCUUCUCUCAAUAUAUUCUCUCUGAGGCAUAGCCGCUCUCCACGGCUCCAUCCAUAAACACAGAGGGCUUGUCUCUUCAUUAAGAGAUAAUGUCUUGCCAUGUUAUCUGUAUGUUGAACUGCAGUGGUGUCCUUAGAACUUCAGGACCAGAUUCAACUAAAGCAAACCAGUGAGUAUGUUUUCUUUAACUUGGUCUUGAUUCUCAUGUAACAUCAGUGAAAAGCCAAGUAGAGAGAAUUUGAGUGUAAGAAAGCUAAUUUCAAUUUAAAUGCCGACUGUGCUCCAGAAAUGUUCUAAACCCAUUACGUAUACUCUCUAUUCUAACCUUCACUAUUCUAUAAAGGAAUAGUCAGGCUGAGAGGUUAAGAUGGAUUACCUGAUACCAAACCAAAUACCUUGUAGGUGGCAGACCCAAGAUCUGAGCAGCUCAUUCUUUCAUAUAAAUCUUAGUGCCUCUUUGUAGAAAGCGUCUAUUUGUAAAUAGAUAUUUCAACAUUUAUCCAUAGGAUAAACAUUCAACUGAUAUUUCGUAAUUAUUUCUAGGACUAGAGUAUCAUAGUGAUGAAUUAGAGGGCAAAGGAGUAUUUUGAAAAAAAAAAAGUGGAGAUUGUUUUGGUUGUUUUUCACUGCUUCAAAGACUUAGGAAAAAAAGAAACCCAAAUGGAGAGGAAACAGACGCAUUCUGAACUUGAACCCAGGUACACAUGGUAUAGUCAGCUGUCAGAGACCCCAGCUCCCCACGCCCAGGCUUUCUCUCUAACCACUGUACCCCGCAGCCUCCUUGCACAUGUGACCAUGUUCAGUUUCCUUCAUUCAUCAUCCACUGUCUCUAAGCUCCUCCUGGUCUUCUGGUUCUUCUCACUCUUCAUCCUUGCAGAAAACACUUACAACAAAUUCUAGCCCUCGAACCCCUAAUUUUAGUCCCUGUGGCCCCAAGAACAAGCACGAAGGCACUAGUUUCAAUAUUGUUUUCCUUAUCUAUUCUGAAUUGGUGUCUCUAGAGCUGCUGUCACUGAGGGUAUGACAUAUAUACUCUGCCAAGAUUUAUAAGAAUCAUGACCUCACAAGAAGCCUAAAGAAGCGUUAGGCUUAAAAUCAUUCACCAGUAUGUGGCAAAUCUCCAUAGCCCUCAUAACUUCCUUAUUUAUAGAUACCUGCUGCAUUUUUUCCAAGGAGCCUUAGCUUUUAACAUCCUGUAGAGUGAUGUAUGUGAACCUCUUAUUAACUGAAAAUUAGGAACUCAAAGUAUUUCCUGGAGUUGAGAAACAAGUUCCAGAAUUGCUGAAAUGACUUUGCAUAUGCACACACACCACACCCCCACACUCUCUCUCUGGAAUUCCGUAAUGGAGUAAACACAUUUUGAUCUAAUUAACAGUCUCAGAGAUGAUGGCAUGUAUAUUGUACUGGUACAACCUAUAAGUCAUCCUAAAUCUCUACGUUGGCAAUACUCUAUGUGCAAACUGUUCAGGACACUCUCCAAAGAGAAUUGAGCAACCUUCUUUUAGAAGGAUAGUGACAGCAUUGAUUUGCGCUUUAUGUCCUUAUAAGUGAUGGAGACAGAAAUCAUUCUGAGUCAUGUUCAGAAGGUAUGUAUACCUGCUGAGCUUUAAAAAGUGAUGGUUUGUAAGUCAACUAGUUAGUUUUCCUAAAGAUACUUUUUAAAAGUUUUGAGACACAAAAGAAAAAAAAUAAACAAAAAAGUCUCUCAAAGCAGUUACCCUUUCUUCUCUCCCUUGUGCAUUUCAAAGAAGCUAUUCAAAGCUAGUAUAUGCAAACUUAUAACCCAGGACCAUGCAACCAGCCCAACUAUCAAUUUAUGUUCUUUUUUGGAAACAGCUUGUAUUUUGCAAACCACUUUCCCUUUUAAUUAUUAUAACAAUGACUUAGAAUAAUGUUUCUCUUAACUCAGAGGCUAUAUUCUCAUUACCCACUGCAUGGCUGGUCCCUUUUUUUUCCCACCAGUAUAUGGCAUUCUACAGCAGGUAUGGGGUUUGUAUCUUUCCAGGCCAGCCUGUCUGGAAAGAGCUUUAUGGCAACACUACUGAAUAUUUUCUCCCCUCAGUCUCCAUAAAAUGGCCACUUUCUUGAUUUCCACAUCUGCCAAGCUGGAGUGGUGUCACCUUCUUUGGGUGGCUGCUAGGAGCAAAUGAAAUAGCUCUUGGCACAUGCUUCUUUCUCUGUAACAAUUAUUAAUUACUAUUCUUGUCCUCAUCUUCACUAGGGGGACUCCUGGGAGAAAGACAGUGGACUUUGAUUAAGAAGGGCUUGUGCCCAUCCCAGGGCUGCUGGUCAGUCUCUGGGCCUGUUUUCUCAAUUGGGAAAAGACUUCUGAGUUGUGAGCCAGUCUCAUGAUCUUAGCAUUGUUUAUAGUUUUCACAUAACCUAACAUUUAUUUGAUUACUUUAUGCAUAUUGAACACUGAUCUAAAUAAUUUACGAAUGUUUGUUUCAUUUAUAUAUCUUUAACGUGAUAUUUUAAGUUUUUGAAAUCAAAGUAAAUAUUGCAUUAUCCCAGAUGGCAGAUGAGGAAGUGGAAACACACUGUGGAUACCCAAUUUUCCCAAAGUUUUGCAACAAUUAAGAGGGGAACCAAGCAAUUUGACCUCAGACUAUGAAGCCUUGAUGAAUAUCCUUCACCACCACCAAUUCAACUCACUGCAGUGGCCUCCUGGGCACCAGCAUUCCCAGCAUCAAUUCCCCUGACUCAGUGGUGUUGACCAUUCAGUACAGGCCCUGUAGCCAUUUAAAACCAUUUCCAUGGUCACUACUGAUUCAAUUGCACUCAUUUCUACCCACACUGCUUUCCUGCCUUUCUUCUCUUCAUUACGCUUCCUCUGUUUCUUUUCCCCUCCAGCAAAAAUGUAUUCCAGGAGAUCUACUCAGGAUUGAGGAUUCCGAGAAGAAUGAGAGAGUGUUGCUGGUAAGAAACAUGGCACAGUGGCAUUGAAGUAGGAGGGCAAAGGUCAAUUUGACACGGGAAAACUGUAAUGUCACACAUUAAGUUCCCUCGAGAGGCAGAGAGAAUAAGAGAGAGAGUUGGAAACACAGAACACAGGCCCAGAAAGUCACAUGUCCAAGCAGGGGCAGAGAGACAGGAAACAGAGUGGACAGAA